ensembl:lncRNA
GACCUGUUCCCCUUGGCUCCUCCUGGGGGCGCUAUAACAGAAGUUAACCAACAACAUCAAUCUGAAACAUGGACUCAGCUCUGCUCCCUCCUCAGACUCCGCCUGCCGCCUCCCAUUGGUCCUCCUUUCCUCCCUCUUCCCUUUUUAACCUAAAGGGGAAAACAACACAAAUAGAAAAACAACACAAAAAAAAGUAACCAUUAUAUCUGAAAGACGUAAGAGAUGUACAAAUGAAAUAAAAGGACAGCUGAACAAUAUGUUAAAAGGGUUAUCUGGGUUAUCAGGGAGACACACCCCCUGAGGUCAGGGAGACACACCCCCUGAGGUCAGGGAGACACACCCCCUGAGGUCAGGGAGACACACCCCCUGAGGUCAGGGAGCCACGCCCCCUGAGGUCAGUGACCGUCUGCAAUGUCCACCGUAUCUGUUAGAGCCAGAGAGAGAGAGAGAGAGAGAGAGAGAGAGAGACAGAGACAGAGACAGAGAGAGAGAGAGAGAGAGAGAGAGAGACAGAGACAGAGACAGAGAGAGAGACAUUAAAAACAGACCCACUCAGCGUCGUGAGCCACUACUCACCGCAGCCCUACCAGAGGGCCGAUGGCAGCGCGUUGCAGCAGACCUCUGAACACUAGAAAAGCAGAAUUACCUCGUGGUAACGGACUAUUACUCAAGGGACCUCGAAAUUGCUCACCUCUCUCCAACGUCCCGC